rnacentral:rRNA from 1 species
UACACACCGCCCGUCACACCACGAAAGUCGGCAAUACCCGAAGCAGGCGCAGCCAACCCCUUUUAGGGGAGGCGGUCUGCGAAGGUAGGGCUGGCGAUUGGGGUG